rnacentral:rRNA from 1 species
GUGCAGCAGGCGCGAAUACUUUACAAUGUGCGAAAGCACGAUAAGGGAACUCUGAGUGCCUCCUAAGGAGGCUGUUCUGAUGUCUAAAAAGCAACAGAAGUAAGGGCUGGGUAAGACCGGUGCCAGCCGCCGCGGUAACACCGGCAGCCCAAGUGGUAGCCACGUUUAUUGGGUCUAAAGCGUUCGUAGCCGGCCAGGUAAGUUCCUUGGUAAAUUUAGCCGCUUAACGGUUAAGCUUUCAGGGAAUACUGCUUGGCUUGGGACUGGGAGAGGUCAGAGGUACUCCGGGGGUAGGGGUGAAAUCUAUUAAUCCCUGGGGGACCACCGGUAGCGAAGGCGUCUGACCAGACCAGGUCCGACGGUGAGGGACGAAGGCUAGGGGCGCGAACCGGAUUAGAUACCCGUGUAGU